rnacentral:rRNA from 1 species
CAAGCGGUGGAGCAUGUGGUUUAAUUCGAUGCAACGCGAAGAACCUUACCUGGUCUUGACAUCCACAGAAUCUUGCAGAGAUGCGAGAGUGCCUUCGGGAACUGUGAGACAGGUGCUGCAUGGCUGUCGUCAGCUCGUGUUGUGAAAUGUUGGGUUAAGUCCCGCAACGAGCGCAACCCUUAUCCUUUGUUGCCAUUGGUUCGGCCGGGAACUCAAAGGAGACUGCCGUUGAUAAAGCGGAGGAAGGUGGGGACGACGUCAAGUCAUCAUGGCCCUUACGACCAGGGCUACACACGUGCUACAAUGGCGUAUACAAAGGGAGGCGACCUCGCGAGAGCAAGCAGACCUCAUAAAGUACGUCUAAGUCCGGAUUGGAGUCUGCAACUCGACUCCAUGAAGUCGGAAUCGCUAGUAAUCGUGAAUCAGAAUGUCACGGUGAAUACGUUCCCGGGCCUUGUACACACC